rnacentral:rRNA from 1 species
GUUAUAGGGUCAAGUGACUAAGUGCAUGUGGUGGAUGCCUUGGCGAUUACAGGCGAUGAAGGACGCGAUAGCCUGCGAAAAGCUGCGGGGAGCUGGCAAACAAGCUUCGAUCCGCAGAUGUCCGAAUGGGGAAACCCACCCGCAAGGGUAUCUCGCAGUGAAUUCAUAGCUGCGUGAAGCAAACCGGGCGAACUGAAACAUCUCAGUAGCUCGAGGAACAGACAUCAACCGAGAUUCCGAAAGUAGUGGCGAGCGAAAUCGGACCAGCCUGCAUGUAUUAGCAGAAACCUUAUCGGAAUGGCAUGGAAAGGCCGGCCACAGCGGGUGAUAGCCCCGUACCGAGAAAAGAUUUCUGUGAAACUAAGCAUGCGAUAAGUAGGGGCGGGACACGUGAAAUCCUGUCUGAAGAUGGGGGGAC